ensembl:lncRNA
UUCAGGACACAAUAAGUUGUUUUUAUUUAAGCUUGUAUCCACAUUGCAGCAGCUAGUGGUCCAAGACAGUGAAUCAGAAAAGGCAGUGAUUUGCCAGGGAGUUCUGCCAGCCAAAUUCUGGGAUCUGCAAUAUACCCAGGUUUUUUCCCCUUUCAAUCUUUGUUAAAAAAAAGCUAGAAAGGAGGAAGUGCCAAAACCUAAAUCUGUACCAAAUUCAAAUCGAAGGUUUUGUUCCCGCCAUUGAAUUCCAAACCUGUUAUUAAGCUAUGGCAUAGAGCAAUCAUGUGAAUGCAAUGCUUGUCAAGUCACAUUUCUUCAAUUUUCAAGAACAAGUUCGAUUCUUUCAAUUGGAGUGUGUGCUUAGGGAGUCUUCAAGCAGUCCUUCCUUUUAACUAUUAAAACCUUUGCUAAGCUGGCAGAUCUGAGCAAUCCUGGGAAAUUACUGCUCUUGUCACUGUAUCAAAAGCUGAGCUAAAAACACUGCCCGCUGCCAGCAUCCUGACAUGGCACAGGGCUGGUGGAGGGGGUGAUCCAGGUUUGCAAACAGUUUAGAUAUUCAUUUCCCAGGCUGGUGAUGAUUAAAUGUAGUUCCAAAAAUGAGAAGCAAAAGGAGUCAGGGAUUUUUUCCAACCCUACCUGGGUUGGCUACUGGCCAGAAGCAAGGAAGUAUCACUGAAAUGGGGAGACUGAUUUUAGGAAAGAGGAAAGAGCAGCACCCCAUGAUGAAGGUGGGGAAAAGAGAAGACACUGAAAGAACCCUGAAUCCCUCACCAAAGGCCCAUGUAAGAGAAGAUGGAUGAGUGGGUGGGGAGAAGGAUACAAUCUAUGCAUUGGCCAAAGGUUGUGGGGAAGUAAAAUGGCUUGCUGGGGCACCAUUUAAAAUGGAAGGUAUUUAAUAAUAAAAAUAAAGACACCAGCAUUGUUAGCCUUUACUAAAGCCAGCACAAAGGGAGGGGUGACAGAUUAGCACACACCCUCAAUAGUAGUCCAUUAAGCUUCCUGUGUCAUACAGGAAGUUAAAACCUUUGUGUCUACUUUAAUAAAUGGCUCAGUGCUGGAAUGCUAUUGCAAAAGGUUAAGGGUAGGGGAAGGGUGGUGGAAUCCUUGGCCAUAUAAGCAGCAAGGUGAUUGUGUGAUAUAUUCUUUCACAGUUGAGUUAGAUGUGCCACACUGGUUAUGACAGUAAUAAAUUUAAAUAGACUUUCUUGAUACCAGAAGUUCAACUAAAUGGACAGUGGUUACACAUGACAAGAUUAUUUGUUAUAGCACAACUUAUAUUUCAAAUGAAAAAAUUAGUAUCAUUUUACAGUAUCUUAAGAUAAAUCGCCUUUGAAUGGGAACUUCCUUUCCAGUACUUUGAGGUCUACAAGAUGCAUCUAGAAAAUUUACUACUGUGGAAAAUGAAGACAGCUUAAAACUGAAUAAAGGGGGAAGAUUUUUUUUUUUUUUGAUUAAUUGCUGUAACAUUGUCCUUCAGGCGGCUGAGGAAGCUUCAUAUUUUCUUUAGACAUCAUUAGACAUCGAAGCUCUUGCAGAACCACUUUGAUGCUAUAUGAAUUCUGCCAUUUUGCUAGCACGGAUAUGGCUCUUGGGUCCACCACUCCAUUAGAACUAUUUACUCCAUUCAUAUUAAUUUUUGUUACAAAUCUUACAAAUGGGGGGGCUUCUGGAUAUUUAGGUCCACACUCUAUUUUAAGGCUGUAUAUUCGGUUUUCAUAAAUUGUUCUUGGAGGCCCAAUAAUCAUUCCUGUCCAUCUUGUAAGUGUCAUAUCUUCAUCAUCUUCAAGACCCCAGCUAACUGUUCCAUCACCUACUCCUUUCUGACCUUCUUCAAGUUCUUCCAACAGUCGGAAAUUUCGAGGGACUUUAACUCCCGAGCCCGUGGUCGCCGCCAUCUUGCGUCGCUGCCGCUCGGAGUCCGCCCCUUCUUCUCCGUCCGCCCCUCCCUCUUCCGGUUUGGCAAUUGUUAAUGCUGUAAAGUUACCCAUGCAUAUAUCCUGUAAAUAAAAGGCUAUUAAAUAAAAAAAAAA